GGGCCUGUAGCUCAGCCGGAUAGAGCAUCUGCCUUCUAAGCAGAGGGUCGCAGCUUCGAGUCCUGCCAGGCCCG
rnacentral:tRNA from 1 species